UACGUAGGGGGCUAGCGUUGUCCGGAAUCAUUGGGCGUAAAGAGCGUGUAGGCGGUCCGGUAAGUCCGCUGUGAAAACUCGAGGCUCAACCUCGAGACGCCGAUGGAAACCAUGUGGCUAGAGUCCGGAAGAGGAGACUGGAAUUCCUGGUGUAGCGGUGAAAUGCGCAGAUAUCAGGAGGAACACCGAUGGCGAAGGCAGGUCUCUGGGCAUUAACUGACGCUGAGGAGCGAAAGCAUGGGGAGCGAACAGG
rnacentral:rRNA from 1 species